rnacentral:lncRNA from 1 species
CUGGCCCAUGUGAACAUGAGCUCAUCUAUGUAGAUCACCUCCACCCACAAAGCACUCCCUGACUGCAAUAUCCAGGUAAUUGCUUUCUCCCUCUGCCAUGCUUUCCAAAUGUAGAGGUAACACUCAACACAUGCCACUGUAACAACUUGAACUUCAGCUCUUAUGGCAUUCUGAAGAGCUGUAGUUUAACUUCCACUUCCUGGAAUUUUUUUUAACUUUUUUGUAACAUUGUUUAUGAAAAAAAAAAAAAGCUCUCAGUGUUGAUUUGUGAGUCUGAGCUCCCCUAGGAAUAGGCUGACCUCCAACAACUUCUCAUUGCACCCCCAGUAGGAGCUUGAAUAAUGACGGAGUGACAAAGUGUCCCAUUCAGUUAUUAUUCAACUAUAUUAAAUUGCUAAAGUUGGUAAUUGGAGCAUAUCUUAUUACAAAGGCAAAAGUUCAACAUUUUUCCCCAGGCAUAAUAGGCAUGCACACUUGAAAACUUCCAGUCUGGUAAGGAAUAAGAUGUCAGGGCAUAGAGCAUGCAACAAAUUAAACAGAGAGAGAUAUAUUAACCAAACUCAGGCAAAAUUACCAAGCAUUACCUCGAAGAUAUUGACCAAUCUCAAGUCCUUGUAACAAAGGUGGGAGAAAGUAAGGAGAGUGUUGGAAAUAUAUCAGUAUUCACAAACUCUACUGUACUCACACAAUUGAAAAACUGUCAUUUGAGAUAUACUAGGGACUGACACUGAGAUGGUUAAAGCUAGUUGACAGCUUAGUGUUCAUUCAUUUUGAUUGGUUGGUGCCUAUCCACUAUCAAUCAUUAAGUAUUUUGAAACCCCACCUGUUCAUAUUAAGGCCCAUUUGAAUCCAUGGUGACAGGCCGUUUACCAGAAACACCAUUUGGGGUAUGGCUGAAAGUUCCAAUUGUCUCUAAGAUGGUCCUGCAGCAGAAUAGUUUUACUGAGACAAUAGGAGCUUUGAGUACCUGUUCGGAUGUGAUCAUCCCAAGCUGCUGCUUCCAGGAACAGGAAAUGAGUAAGAGACAAUUAUUUGGAUCCAGAUAUUCUACUUGCUGA